rnacentral:rRNA from 1 species
UACGAAGGGGGCUAGCGUUGCUCGGAAUCACUGGGCGUAAAGCGCACGUAGGCGGCUUGUUAAGUCAGGGGUGAAAUCCUGGAGCUCAACUCCAGAACUGCCUUUGAUACUGGCGAGCUUGAGUUCGGGAGAGGUGAGUGGAACUGCGAGUGUAGAGGUGAAAUUCGUAGAUAUUCGCAAGAACACCAGUGGCGAAGGCGGCUCACUGGCCCGAUACUGACGCUGAGGUGCGAAAGCGUGGGAGCAACAGG